rnacentral:rRNA from 1 species
AUGCAGCUUUUUAGCCGGACGGUUCCAGCAAAAAAGCCAGCCGGUUGUAGCACCGGAGCGCGUCGUCUCCAUCGCUGGCAAGCUGGUUGUAGCUUUUCACCGGUAUGGUUCCAGCAAAAAAACCAGCCGGUUGUAGCACUGGGAGCGCGUCGUCUCCAUCGCCGGCAAAGCUGGCUGCAACUUUUUGCCGGCAUGGUUCCAGCAAAAAAGCUAGCCGGUUGUAGCACCGGAGCGCGUCGUCUCCAUCACCGGCAGCUGCUAGUUUGCAGCACCGAUGGAUUGCUGCUCAGCGCCAUGGCUAUUUCAUCUGUGCCUCGAAGCACCACCAGUUUCCGAAACUGUCCCAUGGCCGCCGGCCCUCUCGCGUCCGUGGGGAAGGUAGGACAACAUCCGUGGGGGGAAGUAGGAGCUGCGCGAGCACCGCAGCAGGACAGCUCGCCGGCAAAGAUUGAUGUGCGCAUGGCUGGCCAUGGCCGGUAA